rnacentral:rRNA from 2 species
AGUGAUUUACUCAUGGAGCUGAAGUCAGUCGAAGAUACCAGCUGGCUGCAACUGUUUAUUAAAAACACAGCACUGUGCAAACACGAAAGUGGACGUAUACGGUGUGACGCCUGCCCGGUGCCGGAAGGUUAAUUGAUGGGGUCAGCGCAAGCGAAGCUCCUGAUCGAAGCCCCGGUAAACGGCGGCCGUAACUAUAACGGUCCUAAGGUAGCGAAAUUCCUUGUCGGGUAAGUUCCGACCUGCACGAAUGGCGUAAUGAUGGCCAGGCUGUCUCCACCCGAGACUCAGUGAAAUUGAACUCGCUGUGAAGAUGCAGUGUACCCGCGGCAAGACGGAAAGACCCCGUGAACCUUUACUAUAGCUUGACACUGAACAUUGAGCCUUGAUGUGUAGGAUAGGUGGGAGGCUUUGAAGUGUGGACGCCAGUCUGCAUGGAGCCGACCUUGAAAUACCACCCUUUAAUGUUUGAUGUUCUAACGUGGACCCGUGAUCCGGGUUGCGGACAGUGUCUGGUGGGUAGUUUGACUGGGGCGGUCUCCUCCUAAAGAGUAACGGAGGAGCACGAAGGUUGGCUAAUCCUGGUCGGACAUCAGGAGGUUAGUGCAAUGGCAUAAGCCAGCUUGACUGCGAGCGUGACGGCGCGAGCAGGUGCGAAAGCAGGUCAUAGUGAUCCGGUGGUUCUGAAUGGAAGGGCCAUCGCUCAACGGAUAAAAGGUACUCCGGGGAUAACAGGCUGAUACCGCCCAAGAGUUCAUAUCGACGGCGGUGUUUGGCACCUCGAUGUCGGCUCAUCACAUCCUGGGGCUGAAGUAGGUCCCAAGGGUAUGGCUGUUCGCCAUUUAAAGUGGUACGCGAGCUGGGUUUAGAACGUCGUGAGACAGUUCGGUCCCUAUCUGCCGUGGGCGCUGGAGAACUGAGGGGGGCUGCUCCUAGUACGAGAGGACCGGAGUGGACGCAUCACUGGUGUUCGGGUUGUCAUGCCAAUGGCACUGCCCGGUAGCUAAAUGCGGAAGAGAUAAGUGCUGAAAGCAUCUAAGCACGAAACUUGCCCCGAGAUGAGUUCUCCCUGAGACUUUAGGUCUCCUGAAGGAACGUUGAAGACGACGACGUUGAUAGGCCGGGUGUGUAAGCGCAGCGAUGCGUUGAGCUAACCGGUACUAAUGAACCGUGAGGCUUAACCUUACA